CCCUUCACACACGCGCGUCCGCCUCUCUCUCUCUCCCUCACACGUCCCUUAGCCGUCGUCGUGGCGAGAUCCCUGCGAACGGGGGAGGAGGUUCAUUGAGAAAUUAAAAAAAAAGAAUGAUGAAAAAUUGGAGAGAAUAUGGUUAAAGGAGAGAUAGAAGGAAGUUAAAAAAAGAAAAAAAGGAACUGGACGGAGAUUGAGUCAUAGGGAGAGGGACUGUAAGAGAGAUUAAAAAGCUUGUGAUUAAGAAAACUGAGCUUCGGUAAUUACUGACGUUCUUCUUUAAGCGUCGGACGAAUUACUGUGCGAAUAGUGAAAAGAAAAAAUAAAUAAAGAAAGACCUCAAAAGUGCCGAAUAAUUGGAAAAAAAUAGAUAGAAAAUAGACAUAUCCUUUAAGAAAAAUAAAAGUAAAUAUGGAAAAAAUGGGAAGAAAGGAGAUAGAAGAGAGAAAGAGAAAGUGAAAUAAAAGUCACGAAGAACAACGAACGUUAGAGGAAGUCAUCGCUUCGGUCGUCGUGGAGAUCUUCACCGUCGCCGUCGCCCCUUCCCUUUGCCCCUUAUGAUACCUUCCCUUAGUCCUCAAUAAGCCCCUUUCACUCCCUUCCUUUGUGG